AACCUCCGCAAUGUGAGAAAUCGCGACGGGGGGAUCCCAAGUGCCAUUCUUAACGGGAUGGCUUUUCAUUAGUGUAAAGAGCUUUUGGAAUAAGAGCUGGGCAAGACCGGUGCCAGCCGCCGCGGUAACACCGGCAGCUCUAGUGGUAGCAAUUUUUAUUGGGCCUAAAGCGUCCGUAGCCGGUUUAAUAAGUCUCUGGUGAAAUCCUGUAGCUUAACUGUGGGAAUUGCUGGAGAUACUAUUAGACUUGAGACCGGGAGAGGUUAGAGGUACUCCCAGGGUAGAGGUGAAAUUCUGUAAUCCUGGGAGGACCGCCUGUUGCGAAGGCGUCUAACUGGAACGGUUCUGACGGUGAGGGACGAAAGUUAGGGGCGCGAACCGGAUUAGAUACCCGGGUAGUCCUAACUGUAACGAUGCGGACUUGGUGUUGGGGUGGCUUUGAGCUGUCUCAGUGCCGAAGGGAAGCUGUUAAGUCCGCCGCCUGGGAAGUACGGUCGCAAGACUGAAACUUAAGGAAUU
rnacentral:rRNA from 1 species